CCCCGAGGCACAGCUCAACUGGUGGAUCAAUCAACAUUGGCUUGCUUCCAGCGCAGGGUAGAGAGUUCGAUUCCUGGUGGGAACCUGCGGCCAAAAAUUUGGUAUGGAGCAAUCACUGUGGAGGAGGGUCUCUUGUGCGCAGAAGUGUACGGUCAAUGGGGGAACCUGUGAUCCAGUUGAGGCAUAACCCGCAAUUUACCCCUUCCAAGGUU
rnacentral:lncRNA from 1 species